AGUGAACGCUGGCGGUAGGCCUAACACAUGCAAGUCGAACGGCAGCACAGUAAGAGCUUGCUCUUACGGGUGGCGAGUGGCGGACGGGUGAGGAAUACAUCGGAAUCUACUUUUUCGUGGGGGAUAACGUAGGGAAACUUACGCUAAUACCGCAUACGACCUACGGGUGAAAGCAGGGGAUCUUCGGACCUUGCGCGAUUGAAUGAGCCGAUGUCGGAUUAGCUCGUUGGCGGGGUAAAGGCCCACCAAGGCGACGAUCCGUAGCUGGUCUGAGAGGAUGAUCACCCACACUGGAACUGAGAAACGGUCCCGACUCCUACGGGAGGCAGCAGUGGGGAAUAUUGGACAAUGGGCGAAAGCCUGAUCCAGCCAUACCGCGUGGGUGAAGAAGGCCUUCGGGUUGUAAAGCCCUGUUGUUGGGAAAGAAAAGCAGCAGGUUAAUACCCCGCUGUUCUGACGGUACCCAAAGAAUAAGCACCGGCUAACUUCGUG
rnacentral:rRNA from 1 species